UAGGUGAAUACUUGUUGGUUUAAGUGCUUAGCUGUUAACUAAGAUAUUGUGGGAUCGAGGCCCUCUCACCUAG
rnacentral:tRNA from 1 species